rnacentral:snRNA from 1 species
AUUUAUGUCUGGCAGAGGAGGGGGGAGGAUAGCAUGAACCUGAAAGGGGUUUUCCCAGGCCGAGUCUCCACUGCUGACUGCUGGGUUUUCUCCUAAUAUGGGAAACUUGACUGAAUAAUUUAUGCUAGUGAGAAAAAGCAUGAAUACAGUCUCCCU